GAUGAACGCUGGCGGCGUGCCUAAUACAUGCAAGUCGAGCGAACAGACGAGGAGCUUGCUCCUCUGACGUUAGCGGCGGACGGGUGAGUAACACGUGGAUAACCUACCUAUAAGACUGGGAUAACUUCGGGACACCGGAGCUAACACCGGAUAAUAUAUUGAACCGCAUGGUUCAAUAGUGAAAGACGGUUUUGCUGUCACUUAUAGAUGGAUCCGCGCCGCAUUAGCUAGUUGGUAAGGUAACGGCUUACCAAGGCAACGAUGCGUAGCCGACCUGAGAGGGUGAUCGGCCACACGGGAACGGAGACACGGUCCAGACUCCUACGGGAGGCAGCAGUAGGGAAUCUUCGGCAAUGGGCGAAAGCCUGACGGAGCAACGCCGCGUGAGUGAUGAAGGUCUUCGGAUCGUAAAGCUCUGUUAUUAGGGAAGAACAAAUGUGUAAGUAACUAUGCACGUCUUGACGGUACCUAAUCAGAAAGCCACGGCUAACUACGUG
rnacentral:rRNA from 1 species